AAAGGAAUUGACGGGGCCCCGCACAAGCAGCGGAGCGUGUGGUUUAAUUCGAUGCUACACGAAGAACCUUACCAGGGUUUGACAUAUAAGUGGUAGGGAAGGGAAACCGGACCGACCCUUCGGGGAGCUUAUACAGGUGCUGCAUGGCUGUCGUCAGCUCGUGUCGUGAGAUGUUCGGUUAAGUCCGCUAACGAGCGCAACCCUCGCUGUGUGUUACAAGUGUCACACGGUACUGCCGGUCUUAAACCGGAGGAAGGUGGGGAUGACGUCAAGUCAGCAUGGCCUUUAUAUCCUGGGCUACACACACGCUACAAUGGGUAGGUACAAUUGGUCGCGAAACCGCGAGGUGGAGCCAAUCCGUAAAAACUACCCUCAGUUCAGAUUGCAGGCUGCAACUCGCCUGCAUGAAGUCGGAGUUGCUAGUAACCGCAGGUCAGCCAUACUGCGGUGAAUACGUUUCCGGGGCUUGUACACACCGCCCGU
rnacentral:rRNA from 1 species